rnacentral:rRNA from 1 species
AUGAACGCUGGCGGCGUGCCUAAUACAUGCAAGUCGAGCGAACGGACGAGAAGCUUGCUUCUCUGAUGUUAGCGGCGGACGGGUGAGUAACACGUGGAUAACCUACCUAUAAGACUGGGAUAACUUCGGGAAACCGGAGCUAAUACCGGAUAAUAUUUUGAACCGCAUGGUUCAAAAGUGAAAGACGGUCUUGCUGUCACUUAUAGAUGGAUCCGCGCUGCAUUAGCUAGUUGGUAAGGUAACGGCUUACCAAGGCAACGAUGCAUAGCCGACCUGAGAGGGUGAUCGUCCACACUGGAACUGAGACACGGUCCAGACUCCUACGGGAGGCAGCAGUAGGGAAUCUUCCGCAAUGGGCGAAAGCCUGACGGAGCAACGCCGCGUGAGUGAUGAAGGUCUUCGGAUCGUAAAACUCUGUUAUUAGGGAAGAACAUAUGUGUAAGUAACUGUGCACAUCUUGACGGUACCUAAUCAGAAAGCCACGGCUAACUACGUG